rnacentral:lncRNA from 1 species
AAAAAAAUGUGUCAUUGUGGUGGCAGGCUUUGAGGUCUCCUAUGCUCCAGCUACAGUGUGGUACAUAGUCUCCAUCUGCUGCCUGUGUAUCAUGAUGUAAAAUUCUCUUCAUCUUUUUCUCCAGCACCAUGUCUACCUGCAAGCCACUCUGUUAACUGUCAUGACAAUAAUUGACUAAACCUUUGAAACUAUAAAGCCUGCCCCAGUUAAAUAUUUUCCUUUGUAAGAGUUGCCAUGAUCAUGGUGUCUCUACACAGCAAUGAAAUCCUUGCUAAGAUAGAUGAAGAUUCCAACCAGCCAAGUUCUCAGAUCUCAGCUAUGUGUCCAGUGGACCAGGAUGCCUCUUAUCUACUGUUCUGUUUCCAUGAAGAGAUACCAUGACCAAAGCAAUUCUAAAAAGUGAACUUAAUUAAAGACUUUCAUAUGGUUUCAGAGGUUUAAUCCAUUAUCCGCAUGGCUGGGAACAUGGCAGCAUGCAGGCAAGCACCAGAGCACUAAUUUAAAGCUACAUCCUGUUCCAUAGAAAGAGAGGGAAAGACAGAGAGAACCUGGGCCUGAAAAUAGACUUUGAAACCUCAAAGCUCACCCCUGGUGACACACUUCCUUCAACAAGGCCAUACCUCCUAAUCCUUUUAGUCCUUCCAAUCCUUUCAAAUAGUGCCACUUCUUGGUCACUAAGCAUUCAGAUUUAUGAACCUAUGGGGGCCAAUUCUUUUUCAGAUGAACACAUUGCAUUCUCUGGUCCCCAAAUGCAUUCAGUCCAACUUCAAAAGUCAGUAGAGGCUAUCACAGUUUCAAAACUUUUUAAAAAAUCAAAGUUCAAAGUCUCCUCUGAGAUUUAUUGCAACCUCUUAACUAUAACUCUCUGU